rnacentral:rRNA from 1 species
AGAGAGAGACAUGCGCGCAUAUCAAUAAGCGGAGGAAAAGAAACUAACAAGGAUUCCCCUAGUAACGGCGAGUGAAGCGGGAAGAGCUCAAAUUUGAAAUCUUAAAGGGUUUCCCUUUACGAAUUGUAGUUUAAAGAAGUGUUUUCUGCUGAGGUUUUGGUAAAAGUUCUUUGGAAUAGGACAUCAUAGAGGGUGAGAAUCCCGUAUUUGACCUUUACUUUCAACUUUGUGAUACACUUUCAAAGAGUCGGAUUGUUUGGGAAUGCAGUCCAAAAUGGGUGGUAAAUUUCAUCUAAAGCUAAAUAUUGGCGAGAGACCGAUAGCGAACAAGUACCGUGAGGGAAAGAUGAAAAGAACUUUGAAAAGAGAGUUAAACAGUACGUGAAAUUGUCAAAAGGGAAGCGUUUGACACCAGUGUUGUUUUUCUGAAAAUCAAUUAAAGAACUGUUUAUGCUAAGUUGUUUAGACUUUAUCAGCUAACUGUUUAGUUUUGAGCUUUUCUUUAAUGCACUUUUCAGUUAACAAGUCAACAUCAAUUUCUUUCGCUGUAAAAAAGCUUGAGGAAGGUGGCUUGAGAUUCGUCUUAAGUGUUUAUAGCCUCUUGCCUAUGCAGUCGGAGAGAUUGAGGUCCGCAGCGUAGAUCCUUCGGGGCUAAAUGCAUUUGUGCUAAGUUAUAGCAUUUUAUAGACAACUUGUUGACUAUGAUUUGUCUUGUAGCUUACUCGCUUAUGUUAUUUUACCUACGCUUAGGAUGUUGAGCGCAUGUCUCUCUCU